UACUUAGUGGUGUUUUAUAUUUAAGAAGGCCUCCAAUUUGCAUGGUAAGUUUCCAAAAAAUCAAAAAUCGACCCAGCCCCAUCUUUUCCCCUUUUUCCUUUCUACCAUUCGAUUCCUUUCUGUCAUUCUCUACUGUAAAUUUCCCUCUCGAUUUUCCUUUAUUUUCCCUUCCUUUUCUUUUCUCAUUCUUUUCCUUCAAUUUUGCUUCCACCAAAUAACUAAUUUAGCAAAAUUGUGCUAUAACCCAUUUCGGCAACCAUUGGCAGUAAGGCAAAUACCAGUUCAAUCGACGGUGAUUUCUUGGUUAUACAUUUAGCUUUGCUCUCAUUUUGAUGAUUUCUUCCAUGUGGAAUGUGUAAGUCUGUUUGUUGGAAGAAAAUCGAGCCCUAGAAUUCGAGGAAAAAGAAGUUAAUUUGAUGGGUAGCAACAGCGGCUAUUGGGUAUUUGCACAGGUAGGGUUUUAAGUAGAGUUCACUUGGAUACAAAGGAGAAAGAAAAAGAUAUAUGUAUAGAGAAUGAGGAAAAAGAUACUGACUUCUAAAUUCUUGUCAAAUUCUUGAUCUGACUUCUAAAUUACUCUUAAAAGUUACCUUUUUGAGCAGUUUAAUUUCAGUAGAUAUUGAAUUUCAUUCUCUGCAAAAUUGUAUCCCUAUGGUCCCUCUGAUGCUUCGCUGCUUAAACUAAUAAGGAAGGUUAGUGCUCAACUAUAUGGUGUUGCUUUUUUAUUUGUUCUAUGCCAACGAUUAAUCUGCUAGGCACAAGUGUUAACUAAUAUUAGACCAUUUAUCUCCAGAUUUUAUGUCAUACUGCUAGCUCUUGAUAUCUUCUACUAUUUUCUUUGACACUACAACUUCAAUAACCAUUCUCAAGUUACUUCAACAAUCCACAAGCAAUAAAUUUGACAAUAGAUGGAUAGGGUUGGGUUCAUACAGGAGAUCUUGGAUACUUUGAUGAGGAUGGGAAUCUCUAUGUUGUUGACAGAAUUAAAAAGUUGAUCAAGUAUAAAGGUUUCUCGGUAACUUAUUUGAUUGCAUUUUUUUUAUAAAAUUAAUAUGGCUAAUUUGCAUUUUCUAUCAAAUAAAAUUUUGGUGAAAAGAAAGACUCCUCAAUCUUCAUGAAUAUUAAUGUCAAAAGGGAUAGAGAUAUACAUAAUAGUUUCUACAUCCAAGAAUUGGCUAAAUUAUCCUCUAUUCCUUUAGGAACAAUUUUAAUAGAAUUGUAGUAGAAAAAUAACUAAUGAGCAUUUUUUUAUGGUUUUCCUUAGUUAAUAUAUCUUCCUUAGAAGUAUUUCCUAGAAUAAAAUUGAUUCACAUAAGCAGUUAUUUAGAGUUGUCUACUUUUAUAUGAGUAUAUAAAUAUAUGAUUCUAUUUUCAAUUGAAUGAUAGGAAAAAAAAUUAUUCUAUUGUCUUUUGACUAGAUCUAUUAAUAUGAAAAUCAUCCUUUCAAGUAGAGUAUCUGCAUAGAAACUUUUAGAAAACGCAAUGGAUCUAUUGAAUAGCAAAAACGCAAUUUAAAGCCAAGAGUCAAGAACUAGCUAAGUCUACUGAACUUUUAUUGAGAAGUUCUCUUUUUGUGUAAAGGCAAGCUAAGAACUAGUUUGGCUAGCUAAUUGACUGUAAAUGGCAUUAUAAUUAAUGGAACAUGAAAAUUAAAUAACAAGAAGAUUAAUACAGAAACCAAACUCAGAUAAAUGAACAAACAAACUAAAACUGAAAAUUAAUGGAGUAGUAAAGCAGUAGCAUGAAAAUAAAAAAAAAAAAUUUAAAACACUUGUUUCAAGUAAAAAGGCCUCCUAGGUGAAUGCUGAACCUAAUAGCAAUCUUGUACCAUCCUUAUCAACCCCCAAACAGCCAUGAAAAAUCAAAGAAACAACAACCCAAAACAAUCAUCAAAAACUGGAAACUGGUUCUGAACAGCAUCUGAUUAAAAUUCGGUUUCCACUCUCAUUUGAUAGUAUUUGAUCUCCAAUUUUUUUUGGAAGUAACUAACUAAUAUGUGAACAUGCACAUAAAUUUUCAAGAGCAUUGGACAUCAUUUAGUACUUGAAAUUUAACCAAAACCGUAGCAAAACAAAAUCUGAAAUUUCAGCUUGGAAAACAGAACAGCUGCUACUAAAUCUUAGAUCUGGCUCAAAAUAUAUGGAAUUUUGCUCUCAAAUUUUAUAGAAGCUUAGAUAACUCAUAGAUGAACAAGUACUAAAAAGCUUGAUACAGAUUGAAACCAAAUUGAACUUGAAAAGUAACAAAAACCGAAAUUAAAUAAAAUCUGAAGACAGAACAACAUUCUGGAAACAGCUUUUAAAAAAAUAUUAAAUUUACUAGCUCAAUUAGAACUAUUUGAUCAAGAGGAAGCACUGUAAAUCAAGCUAAAAACUAGAGGAACAACAUAUAAAAAACUCAUAAUUUUUUGAAACUGAAAUCAACUUGAAAAUUAAUUAAACAGUAGCUAACAUCAAACCUAGAAACCCAAAAACUGUGUUGAAUAAACUGAAAUUGCAAGUUUAAAAGGAAAAUGUUUACUUAAAGGAACUAAAGUAGAGCUAAAUAACAAGUAAAGGAAUGUAAAAGAAACUUAAAAUAAAUUUAAAAUGAAAGGAAAAACAAAGAACAAAGACUGCACAGCCAAUAACAUAGCAGCUAUGGAGCUGCCAGCAUUUGGAGUUCCUGCUAAAAAAAAAUGCCGAGGCAUGUAUGAGGGGGGGCUCUUCUAUAGCUGAAUAAAAGCUUUUUUAAUGUUUGAUCCCAGCUUCAAAUGAUGCAAUCUCAACCUUCAAAAAUGCCAAGUCAGCUCAGAGAUAUUUUGGAAGAUAGACAAUUGCCCAUAACCAAUUCUGCACGAGCUUCAAUUUCCAGCUAGCUUCCUCUCCCAUGUGCUGCUUGUUUUGCCGGUCAAAUAAGGUGAUAGAGUAUGUCCAAUAUUUAUGAGAGAGGGUUCAAAAAUAUGAGGGUUCACACCCGGGAUGGAGUUCCUAGCCCACAAAAUUAAAGCUAUGGGUAUGUUUUUAUACUAAAUGCUUUCCGUCUUUGAGGUUUAAAUAAUAUUUUUUUGGCUUAAGCAGUUAAUUUGCGGUUUAAUAGGCAUGCUUAUGAUGAUUUGUGUAUAUCCUCUUCAUUAAGCUAUUAGGUAUUCUAUGAUUUUUUUUUUAGAUGGGAAAUUCAAUUUCAUUAGGCUUGUUAAGUAUAAAAUUGCUUAAAAUCUUUGAUAGGCAUAAAAUCUUUGGAGCAGAAAAUUGCUUAAGUAAUGAUUUUCCAUACGUUUGUGGAAUCUUUUGCACUAGUUUCCCGCCUAUUAGGGUUUAUUAUUCAACUAUAAAAAAAAAAAAAAACUUGUGGAUCAACAAACCAUUUGCUAUGAUAUUUACCUCAAAAAUCUUAGUUCCUAUUGAUUGACAAUUGCUUUUUGCGUGGUUUGCUCACUCUUUAAAAUUGCCUCUUAUUGCAAAAUGGCAAGCCAACCGGCCAUGAACAAUGCAAAGCCUCUGACAGUAUAGAUCCAAGGAUAGCCUGUUGGUAAAAAAAGUGGUUGUUGCUCUUCCUAAAAACUCAAUGAUGUAUUAGGAAGCUUUUUUUCUUUUGUAGUAUGCUACCUCUCGUGGCUUGCAAGAUUACAUGUAACUCAUCGAUGACAAAUUUAUUUGUUCUGGUUCAUUUCUACACACUUGUUCAUGUGAAAAGGCUUGUACAAUGUAUGAUUGUUGAUUUAAUAAUAAUAUUUUUGCUU